rnacentral:tmRNA from 1 species
GGGCCUGAUCGGUUUCGACUGUUUGAUCAGAGUAAUUGGAAGCGUGCUGGUGUUUGAUUCUAUUUCCACCAUAAGCGAAUGAAUCACCUAAUUAAGCGCCGACGAUAAUGUUGACGCUGAUUACGUUGCCGCUGGCAUCGCUGACGUCGAGGCAUUCCUCGCCGACAGCGUUCUCGCUAAGGCGUGAUCAGGUUAUAGGCACUCCGCUUUUCCGGCGUCUAUAACAUACUCAGAAGGAAAAGUCAGGCACAGUAGCUAUCGCCAAUAUACAACUACUGUGUAAGCAAAAAAGAAUUGGCAAAGAUGUUCAGGUAGGUUGUUAGUAACAAGCCUGAGUCUCACGUUUAAACUAACUACGCACGUAGAAGCUAUUACAAAGAAAGACAGGACGGGUGUUCGAUUCACCCCAGGUCCAC